rnacentral:misc_RNA from 1 species
GAUGAAGAACGUAGCGAAAUGCGAUAAGUAAUGUGAAUUGCAGAAUUCAGUGAAUCAUCGAAUCUUUGAACGCACAUUGCGCCCGCCAGCAUUCUGGCGGGCAUGCCUGUUCGAGCGUCAUUUCAACCCUCGACCUCCCCUUGGGGAGGUCGGCGUUGGGGACCGGCAGCACACCGCCGGCCCUGAAAUGGAGUGGCGGCCCGUCCGCGGCGACCUCUGCGCAGUAAUCCAGCUCGCACCGGGACCCCGACGCGGCCACGCCGUAAAACACCCAACUUCUGAACGUUGACCUCGAAUCAGGUAGGACUACCCGCUGAACUUAAGCAUAUCAAUAAGCGGAGGA